rnacentral:rRNA from 1 species
UGGGGAAUAUUGCNCAAUGGGGGAAACCCUGAUGCAGCGACGCCGCGUGAGCGAUGAAGUAUUUCGGUAUGUAAAGCUCUAUCAGCAGGGAAGAAAUGACGGUACCUGACUAAGAAGCCCCGGCUAACUACGUCGCC